UACGUAGGGUGCAAGCGUUAAUCGGAAUUACUGGGCGUAAAGCGCGUGUAGGCGGCCUUCUAAGUCUGGUGUGAAAGCCCGGGGCUCAACCCCGGAAGUGCAUUGGAUACUGGGAGGCUGGAGUACCGGAGAGGAGGGUGGAAUUCCUGGUGUAGCGGUGAAAUGCGUAGAUAUCAGGAGGAACACCGGUGGCGAAGGCGGCCCUCUGGACGGAUACUGACGCUGAGACGCGAAAGCGUGGGGAGCAAACAGG
rnacentral:rRNA from 1 species